rfam:Kwoniella mangroviensis CBS 10435 unplaced genomic scaffold supercont2.1, whole genome shotgun sequence.
GCCCUGUUAGCACAGAUGGUAGUGCGUAAGACUUCUAACUCAUUCAGCAGUUGAGAAGAUCAUCUUAAGGUCGCGGGUUCGAGCCCCGCAUGGGGUU